GACGAGGGACCUAGCGUUGCUCGGAAUUAUUGGGCGUAAAGCGGGUGUAGGUGGCUUGGUAAGUCGGGUGUGAAAGCCCAGGGCUCAACCCUGGAAGUGCAUUCGAUACUGCUGAGCUUGAGUGCGAGAGAGGUUAAUAGAAUACCUGGUGUAGUGGUGAAAUACGUAGAUAUCAGGUGGAACACCGGAGGCGAAGGCGGUUAACUGGCUCGACACUGACACUGAGACCCGAAAGUGCGGGGAUCAAACAGG
rnacentral:rRNA from 1 species